UUCUAUUCUGCAAGGAAAAAUUAAAUUUUCAUCUGCUUUAUGUUAUAUAUUUUCUUGAACACAAUUGUUAAUCGAGGGUUUUCUCUUUAGUCUUCACGCUCAGCCUACAAUUCACUCAUGUAUGCACUUAUGCAUUUCUUUCUAUUUAUAUGCAAUCUAGUCUCUAGGCUGGCAGAGCAUAGGCCAAAUAGUUCUCAUAUAUAAACUAUAAAUAUAAAAUAUACAAGAGAUUACAACUAUAUAGACAUUUCAUUUAGCAGCUAUUUCUAUCCUAAAGUCAUUGAAAAAGGCUAAAAUGGCUAUAUUAAAUAUACGUUACUAACAGAAGGAGGCGUGGCAGGCCUCAUAAGGUGCAUAUAUCCUUGAUCAGGACGACGAUGGCCGAUUUAGCUUUGUGCGUCUGUCUGCUUGAGACCUGUUUUAGUCUGUCACAUCCACAGAUCAUGCCAGUCGAUCACGCCCCUUUUGGCACUCUUAAUGCGUGCAGAGUAUAAAGAGAUGCGCAAGAUAAAAAAAUGCUAGCAAAUGCAGCUGCCAGCUUUGGCAAAAGUUAAAGCUAAUUGCACAACAAACUCGUGACGAAGCCGAAGUGGGAAUUGAAAAUGGAAGUGGAAGUGCAAGUGGGGACAUAGUUGCAAGGAAGUGGCUAUUGCUGGCCACGAGCUGGAGUGGGGCACCUGCCGCAGAGUGGGGCAACAAUCAGGGCAGCACUUUCAUUUCAUUUGCUUUCAUUUCGUUUGAUUUGAUUUCAUUUCAUUUGGUGCCCGCUGUUGGCCUUUGAGCUGCUUUCGUUUUCCUCUUGUCAAGAGAUGAACUCGACAUUGGAGUGCGCCCAAAAUGAAAAAAUAAACAAAAAUAAUAAUCAAAAUAAACGAAUAACAACAAUUGUCGGCUCAAGUAUUUAACAAUUUGUUUGCAAUUCAAAUGCUGUGCGCCCACGUCUUAUGACAUGUUCCCUACUUAACUGGUGGGGGAUUCGAUGCGUGCAAAUUGGAUAUACUAACUGAAACCAUUACGGCUGAGCCGCAGCUAAAGCAGCUUAUACGCAUUGUACGUCAAUUCUACGUCGCCUGGGUACAUUAAACCAGAAUCUUGAUUAAUAAAAUUCAUAAAUUUUAGCAAAUCGUCGAUUAAUUGACGCUUGACGCUAUAUUCAUAAAACGGAAUAUAUGCGUGUAUACAAGUAUAAUAAACAAGAGUUAGAUAUUCUAAAGAGACGCUAAUAACAUGAGCAGAUUCUAAUUGGAUUCAUAUUCGCGAAAGGAGCGUGAACUUUAAAUUAUGUGAUGCGUGGCAUUCUGAGCUAAAUUCAAUUAUUACUUAAUUUAGUUGAAAUCAUUAAAUUUCUUUUCAAAUCAAUUUUAAGUAUUUAUAUGAAUUUUAGAAAAUAAAUUUUUAAUUUCAUUGAGAAUGUAGUCGGUGUUAUUCCAAUUGGAAAAUCAGCGCCUCGCUUGAAAUUCUUAUUCACAUCUUUCAAAUAGUUGGCAACGCGGCAACAGUUGCAAUGAGCUGCUCCAGUUCUGGUUCCAAUUCCAGCCUGCUCUCAUUUAGGGGUUGAUUUCCAAUGAACACGGAACAUAAACACAACCGAAGAGCGGCGCAAAGCAACAAGAAGAUGGAAACAUAUCAAAACAAACGCAGGCAAUUGACUACGUGACUGGGCUGCUGCCUUCAAUUGCCUCCGCGAUGCCGUUUGCCCCGCAGCAGCCCACACACAAAUUGUCGAUUCGAGAUUCUUUACUUAUCGCAUAACUGGGAGCAUUUGACGCGUGUGGCGGUCAGCGGCAGCGGCAACAACAGUGGCAGCGACAGCGACAGCAGCAGCGGCAGCGGCAGCGGCAUUAUUUCAAUUGCGUCCCCACACAUGUGGGCAACGAUAGAAGCGGAGAUAGCGCAACUAGGCGACAGUAUUUAAAUGCACAUACAUAUAAAAUAACAGAAUAGCUUUGGACAUGAGGAACUCAUAUGUUUCUCUGUUAUGACUUGACCCACAUUUUGUGGAGUGAGAGGCGAGAGGAAUGGUGACAAAAGGCUUAUCAGUGCAGGGCGGAAACUGGAUGCCGACAAGACGAUCUUCAAUCGAACACGUCAGCCCCUUUCCCGGUCGAGGGGCCAUACACCCGCCCAGGCGCACUUACCCUGUCUAUGAACUCUGAUUUCCUGGAAAACUUGUUGCCCCUAAACGCUGGGCCAACAGCCGCUGUUGCACGGCGUAAGUAUCAGAACGCGUAGGCGUCGAUUCACUCGUUCUUUUCUCUGUUAUUCUUAGCGUUGUCUUUUAGCCGUUUGUUUACAGCUAAUCGGGGCUCUUUCACGCACACACAAACUGCAGUUGAAUGGAACUCAAGAAUUCUCUUCACACUUAACAACUUCCUUUUACAAUUUGUUGUAAUUAGCAAC